rnacentral:rRNA from 1 species
UACAGAGACUGCGAGCGUUAUUCGGAUUCACUGGGCGUAAAGGGUGCGCAGGUGGCCAGGUGUGUGAGGCGUGAAAGCCCGGGGCUUAACCCCGGAAUUGCACCUCAAACUACUUGGCUAGAGCAUUGGAGAGGGGAGCAGAAUUCAUGGUGUAGCAGUGAAAUGCGUAGAUAUCAUGAGGAAUACCAGAGGCGAAGGCGGCUCCCUGGACAAUUGCUGACACUCAGGCACGAAAGCGUGGGGAGCAAACAGG